AAAGUACUCCCUCCGUCCCAAAAUUCUUGUCUUAGAUUUGUCUAGAUACGGAUGUAUCAAGUCACAUUUUAGUAUUAGAUACAUCCGUGUCUAGACAAAUCUUAGACAAGAAAUUUGGGACAGAGGGAGUAGUUG
rnacentral:pre_miRNA from 1 species